rnacentral:rRNA from 1 species
GACGAACGCUGGCGGCGUGCCUAAUACAUGCAAGUCGAGCGGACGAUUCGAAAGCUUGCUUUUGAAUCGUUAGCGGCGGACGGGUGAGUAACACGUGGGCAACCUGCCCUGUAGACGGGGAUAACACCGAGAAAUCGGUGCUAAUACCGGAUAACACGAAAUGUCGCAUGACGUUUCGUUGAAAGGCGGCGCAAGCUGCCGCUACAGGAUGGGCCCGCGGCGCAUUAGCUAGUUGGUGAGGUAACGGCUCACCAAGGCGACGAUGCGUAGCCGACCUGAGAGGGUGAUCGGCCACACUGGGACUGAGACACGGCCCAGACUCCUACGGGAGGCAGCAGUAGGGAAUCUUCCGCAAUGGACGAAAGUCUGACGGAGCAACGCCGCGUGAGCGAAGAAGGCCUUCGGGUCGUAAAGCUCUGUUGUUAGGGAAGAACAAGUAACGUAGUAACUGACGUUACUAUGACGGUACCUAAAGAGAAAGCCACGGCUAACUACGUG